rnacentral:rRNA from 1 species
CAGUCGCCGCGGGAAAACGGAGGGUGCAAGCGUUAAUCGGAAUUACUGGGCGUAAAGCGCACGCAGGCGGUCUGACAAGUCAGAUGUGAAAUCCCCGGGCUUAACCUGGGAACUGCAUUUGAAACUGUCAGGCUGGAGUCUUGUAGAGGGGGGUAGAAUUCCAGGUGUAGCGGUGAAAUGCGUAGAGAUCUGGAGGAAUACCGGUGGCGAAGGCGGCCCCCUGGACAAAGACUGACGCUCAGGUGCGAAAGCGUGGGGAGCAAACAGGAUUAGAUACCCCGGUAGUCCCUGUCUCUUAUAC